ensembl:Mt_tRNA
AGAGACUUAGGAUAGUAUUUAGACCAAGGGCCUUCAAAGCCCUAAGCGAGGGUGAAAAUCCCCCAGCCUCUG